AGCCUCUCAGGGUCAUACCUGGAGAGUUUCUAGUACUCUACCAGUCUCAGCUACGGGAGGGAGUGUCGAACAGAGGUCUACCCAUUCCAUUCCUAGCUUGGCCAGUGGCUAGCGAGUGGAAGGCAAUCUGCUACAAGU
rnacentral:snoRNA from 1 species